UAUUUCGCGUAUUGUAAUUUCAACACGAGCGGGGUCAAAUCCUUUGCAGACGACUUAGCUGUGCGAAACGGUCCUGUAAGCAGUAGAGUAGCCUUGUUGUUACGAUCUGCUGAGGGUAAGCCGUCCUUCGCCUCGAUUU
rnacentral:rRNA from 1 species